GCCGGAGUAGCUCAGAUGGUCAGAGCACCUGUCUUGUAAACAGGGGGUCGCCGGUUCGAAUCCGGCCUCCGGCU
rnacentral:tRNA from 1 species